rnacentral:rRNA from 2 species
GACGUAGGGGACGAGCGUUGUCCGGAUUCAUUGGGCGUAAAGCGCGCGUAGGCGGCCACGCAAGUCGGGUGUGAAAUCCCGGAGCUCAACUCCGGAACUGCACUCGAAACUGCGCGGCUUGAGGUAGGUAGGGGAGAUCGGAAUUCCUGGUGUAGCGGUGGAAUGCGCAGAUAUCAGGAGGAACACCGGUGGCGAAGGCGGAUCUCUGGGCCUUACCUGACGCUGAGACGCGAAAGCUAGGGGAGCGAACAGG